rnacentral:rRNA from 1 species
GGAACCACUACGUGUGGUGAUUGUAAUAACGUAAGGGAAAAAAAUGAUAUAACCUUACUAUUAGUGUUGUCCAAAGCUGUGAGAUGUAUUGGGAAUACAUCGUUAAUGGCUGUUAAACUAUCAAACUCCGGAAACACCCUAAAGCUUAUGGUACCAAGCUUAAUACGAAAGUCUAUAAGUGGCCAGAAUAAUUCCCUGGGUAAGGUAACAAGUCAUAAGAUGAAGGAAACUGAAAUGGGUUAUCGCGGAUCUAAGUCAUCUCUAUUUAUAUAUAAUAAUAACAGCCAACCAAUAAAUUUAUAUAAAUGAGGUGUAAAAGAGCAACGAGUAGACGGUAGUUGGUUUUUAGCUAAAAUAGCUAGAAGCUUAAGGUGUACUCUAACGGGCUUUGAAAGAAGUUAUCAAAUCAAAAUCCCUUCUAAACAAUUUUUUAAANNNNNNNNNNNNNNNAGAUUUUAUUCUAUGAGUGGAAUUCCAUUAAAUCCAAAAUUUUUCACUGGAUUUACUGAAGCUGAAGGAAGUUUUACUAUUAUAAUUUAUCCAUACAAUAAACUAAAAACUAAGAUUAGAGUAAUGGCUAAAUUUAAAAUAGGAUUGAAUGUUAAAGAUCUACCUUUAUUAAUAAAAAUUCAGGAAUUUUUUGGAGGCGUAGGUACACUGAGUUCUGAAAAAGAAAGCAAUGCUUGAAUUUAUUCUGUAAGUAGUGUGAAAGACUUGCUAAAUGUUAUAAUUCCUCACUUUAUUAAUUAUCCACUGUACACACAAAAAAGAGCUGAUUUCAAAUUAUUUGUACAAAUACUUCAAUUAAUGAAAAAAGAUGCUCAUCUUAAUCAUGUUGGUUUACAAGAGAUAGUUAAUAUUAAAGCCUCUAUGAAUAAAGGUAAAUCUGAUUUUGUUAAAUCUCAGUUUCCUCAAAUUAAUCCAGUAAAAAGAUAAACAUUGAAAUAACAAAGAUCUCAGAUCCAAAUUGGAUUUCAGGUUUUGUUAGUGGUGAUGGUAAUUUUGAUGCAGGGAUUAGAAAAGCAACUAAUACUAGAAAAGAAAGAGUUUAUUUAAGAUUUAGAAUAACUCAACAUGAAAGAGAUCUAAAAUUAAUGGAAUUAAUAAUUAAGUAUUUAGGAGCAGGAAGAAUUGAAUGUGAUAAGAGAAAAGAACAUUCAGUUGUAAAUAUAGUAAUAGGAAACUUUUCAGAUAUAAAUAACAAAAUUAUUCCUUUCUUUACUCAGUAUCCUAUUUUUGGUGUAAAAUAUUUAGAUUAUUUAGAUUGGUGUAAAAUUGCUAAUUUAAUGAUUCUAGGUAAAGAUAAACAAGAAGGAUUUAAAGAAAUAAAGGCAAUAGAAGCUGGAAUGAAUAAAGGAAGAUAAAAAAUUAAAAAAUUGUAUGAUAAAUUUGAGGGACCGUGGGUGCCAGAAGACUCGGUAAGGCCAGAGACGCAAACGUUAGUCGUCCUAAUCAGGCGUAAAGGGUAUGUAGGCUGUUUUAAAAGUUUUAUAUUAAUAGCUAAUGUAUUAAAAAUUUUAUUUAUUUUAAAUAAUAAAUAUUUUAUACAUAAAAAUAUAAGAUGAAUUAAAGCUAGGAUCAAAUGGAGGAUAAGUCAAAUAAUACCUAGUGUAGGGUUUAAAUCUGUUGAUAUUAGGUAGAGUACUAACGGUGAAAGCUUUUUAUCUAUAAAUGAUUGACGCUGAGAAACGAAGGUGAGAAUAGGAAAUAGGAUUAGAUACCCAGAUACCUCUCACAGUCAACGAUGAAUGGUGGUUGUUAGUUAGUUUUAUUUAACUGAUAACGAUGUUAACACGAUAACCAUUCCGCCUUGCGAGUACGGUUGCAAAACUGAAACCAAAAAAAU